rnacentral:ncRNA from 1 species
UAGAGUAGCAAAGACGCGUUAAGUGUUGCAAAACGGGAUGUUGUUUGCAAACGAAAGAACCGUAAUAGUUAUGCCGUGAGUUGUACGUUACAAGGCUUAACACGAAAGGAAAACGGGUCUGCGGUGUCUUUGCGCGUCCGCUA